rnacentral:rRNA from 1 species
GACAGAGGCCCCAAGCGUUAGGCGGAAUCACUGGGCUUAAAGCGUGUGUAGGCGGAUCGUUAAGUGUCUUGUGAAAUCCCACGGCUCACCCGUGGAACUGCUGGGCAUACUGGCGAUCCUGGGCCAACUAGGGGCAGCCGGAACAAGCGGUGGAGCGGUGAAAUGCGUAGAUAUCGCUUGGAACGCCAAAGGUGAAAACAGGCUGCUGGGGUUGUGCCGACGCUGAGACACGAAAGCCAGGGGAGCAAACGGG